AUUUGAAUCACCUGAGGAUUUUGCUAAAAUGCAGAUUCUUAUGCAAUCAAUGGGUCUGGACAGGGUCUGAGAUUCUGCAGUUCCAACAAACUCUCAGGUGAUACUCAU
rnacentral:pre_miRNA from 1 species